rnacentral:rRNA from 1 species
GAUGAACGCUAGCUACAGGCUUAACACAUGCAAGUCGAGGGGAAACGACAUCGAAAGCUUGCUUUUGAUGGGCGUCGACCGGCGCACGGGUGAGUAACGCGUAUCCAACCUGCCCACCACUUGGGGAUAACCUUGCGAAAGUAAGACUAAUACCCAAUGACGUCUCUAGAAGACAUCUGAAAGAGAUUAAAGAUUUAUCGGUGAUGGAGGGGGAUGGGUCUGAUUAGCUUGGUGGCGGUGUAACGGCCCACCAAGGCGACGAUCAGUAGGGGUUCUGAGAGGAAGGUCCCCCACAUUGGAACUGAGACACGGUCCAAACUCCUACGGGAGGCAGCAGUGAGGAAUAUUGGUCAAUGGGCGAGAGCCUGAACCAGCCAAGUAGCGUGCAGGAUGACGGCCCUAUGGGUCGUAAACUGCUUUUAUAAGGGAAUAAAGUGAGUCUCGUGAGACUUUUUGCAUGUACCUUAUGAAUAAGGACCGGCUAAUUCCGUGCCAGCAGCCGCGGUAA